GGUCUCAUAGCUCAGUGGUUAGAGCAUACGAUUGCAGCUUUCAUUUGCUUGCUAUCGUGUGGUCGCGUGUUCGAACCACGCUGAGACUU
rfam:Laetiporus sulphureus 93-53 unplaced genomic scaffold LAESTscaffold_31, whole genome shotgun sequence.